AUGGACCAAUCCAUCCCUUUUUCCCGUGCAUAUGCAUCGGACUCGGAUGACGAUGGUCCUGAUGAAGAAGUUGAUGAGGAGGGGUUCACACCGAAGGAGGCCGAAGCAUUCAAGAAGGUAUUCGGGCGGGAUCACAAGAUACCGUUGUUCAAGGAUCUUAGUCUCGCGGAUGAAGCCGUUGUGGAUGGUGGAAAAUGCAUAUCUCUUGGAGCUAGGCCAAGUUCUCAC
rnacentral:rRNA from 1 species